rnacentral:rRNA from 5 species
CGGGACUCUCACGAGGCCUCGUAAUCGGAAUGAGUACACUUUAAAUAUUUUAACGAGGAACAAUUGGAGGGCAAGUCUGGUGCCAGCAGCCGCGGUAAUUCCAGCUCCAAUAGCGUAUACUAAAUUUGUUGCGGUUAAAAAGCUCGUAGUUGCAUUUGUGCGCCGCGCUGUCGGUGCACCGCAUCCGCGGUGAUACUGACACGUUUGCGGAGCAUAUCGUCGGUGAGCCGCCGGUCAAACGGCGGUUCAAUAUCAAAAUCCUAUCGCGGUGCUCUUCAGUGAGUGUCGAGGUGGGCCGACAAUUUUACUUUGAACAAAUUAGAGUGCUCAAAGCGGGCUCAAAACGCCGCUUGAAUAUUUCGUGCAUGGAAUAAUAGAAUAUGAUCUCGGUUCUAUUUUGUUGGUUUUCAGAGCUCCGAGGUAAUGAUUAAUAGGGAUAACUGGGGGCAUUCGUAUUGCGACGUUAGAGGUGAAAUUCUUGGAUCGUCGCAAGACGAACAUCAGCGAAAGCAUUUGCCAAAGGUGUUUUCAUCAAUCAAGAACGAAAGUUAGAGGUUCGAAGGCGAUUAGAUACCGCCCUAGUUCUAACCGUAAAUAUGUCAUCUAGCGAUCCGCCGACGUUAAUAAAAUGGCUCGGCGGGCAGCUUCCGGGAAACCAAAGAUUUUGGACUCCGGGGGGAGUAUGGUUGCAAAGCUGAAACUUAAAGGAA